AACUGUAUAGUGUACAUGUUAAUGAUAUGCCCAAAUCCUUAAUGCAGUUCUCAUCCUCCGCAUGCCCUCAGUUUGUGGUCACGUGACUUGAGUGUUCCUGAUGAUUCUGCCCACCUCCUGUGUUUGGACGUCUAGGGAGGAGGGUCGGGUUUUGAUGGUACCCUCCUCAUCCUCAUGCACAGAUAUGCUCAGGGUCCCCCUGUGUGCCUGGUAUCCAUCCCUCUCUUGUUUCCUAUUCCCUGUCUGAGCAUGUGGUCCCUCCUGGUUCUGUACCUUCUCUGCCUCCUCCCCAAGCUGUCAGAUAGCCUUCCUACUCAAAUCUAAAGCAGUAUUAAGAUCAUUACUGCAUGUGCACUAAAAACCCAAGUUUUCUGUUCCCUUGGGGCAGAAAAUUGCAUGUGAGGUGGAAUAAUCAAGUUUCAAUGACCUAUGUCAGUUGCACAACAAAGCCAGACCCCAGAAUAAAAUUCCACAAAAUGGAAAUAAAACUCAAAUUUCUUUAGCACUGUGUAAAUAAAUCUGGAUGUGUUUAACUUUGUACUGGUAAUUUUCUGUAUAUUUGCAAUAUUUGGGUUAGAAAUAAAACAGACUGGACUUUAUUACCUGACCUACUAAAA
rnacentral:lncRNA from 1 species